AUUGCCCCAGUAACGGCGAGUGAAGCGGCAACAGCUCAAAUUUGAAAUCUGGGGCCCUUUGGGCGUCCGAGUUGUAAUUUGCAGAGGGAGUCUCGGAGGGCGCGCCGGCCCAAGUGCCUUGGAACAGGAUACCGCAGAGGGUGAGAGUCCCGUAUCCGGCCGGCGUUGCGCUCCGUGUGAGGCCCCUUCGACGAGUCGAGUUGUUUGGGAAUGCAGCUCUAAGCGGGUGGUAAAUUCCAUCUAAAGCUAAAUACUGGCCAGAGACCGAUAGCGCACAAGUAGAGUGAUCGAAAGAUGAAAAGCACUUUGAAAAGAGAGUCAAACAGUACGUGAAAUUGUUGAAGGGGAAGCGCAUGGGGGCAGACUUGAGCGCGGGGUUCAGGGUUUCCAUCUGGAGCCUGUACUUCCCCGCGGGCAGGCCAGCAUCGGUUUCGGGGGCCGGACAAAGGCGACGGGAACGUGGCUCUCUUCGGGGAGUGUUAUAGCCCGGCGCGCAAUGCGGCCACCUGGGACCGAGGACCGCGCUUCGGCAAGGAUGCUGGCGUAAUGGCCUCAUGCGGCCCGUCUUGAAACACGGACCAAGGAGUCUAACAUCUAUGCGAGUGUUUGGGUGGCAAGCCCGGGCGCGCAAUGAAAGUGAACGGAGGUGGGAGCCCUGUGACACGGGGUGCAGCAUCGACCGGUCCGGACGUCUUCCGAAGGAUCUGAGUAAGAGCAUAGCUGUUGGGACCCGAAAGAUGGUGAACUAUGCGUGAAUAGGGUGAAGCCAGAGGAAACUCUGGUGGAGGCUCGCAGCGGUUCUGACGUGCAAAUCGAUCGUCAAAUUUGCGUAUAGGGGCGAAAGACUAAUCGAACCAUCUAGUAGCUGGUUCCUGCCGAAGUUUCCCUCAGGAUAGCAGUAACGCGCGGCAGUUUUAUGAGGUAAAGCGAACGAUUAGGGAGCUAGGGGUUGAAACAACCUUUAUCCAUUCUCGAACUUUAAAUAUGUAAGAAGUCCUUGUUGCUUUGUUGAACGUGGACACUCGAAUGCGGCGUUACUAGUGGGCCAUUUUUGGUAAGCAGAACUGGCGAUGCGGGAUGAACCGAACGUGGGGUUAAGGUGCCGGAAUGCACGCUCAUCAGACACCACAAAAGGUGUUGGUUCAUCCAGACAGCAGGACGGUGGCCAUGGAAGUCGGAAUCCGCUAAGGAGUGUGUAACAACUCACCUGCCGAAUGAACCAGCCCUGAAAAUGGAUGGCGCUCAAGCGUGCUACCCAUACCCCACCGUCUGCUCUUGCGGGUAGGAGCAGACGAGUAGGCAGGCGUGGAGGUUUUGUGACGAAGCCCAGGGCGUGAGCCCGGGUCGAACGG
rnacentral:rRNA from 2 species